rfam:Spiroplasma sabaudiense Ar-1343, complete genome.
GUCUCGUUAGCUCAGCCGGUAGAGCAACUGGCUUUUAACCAGUGGGUCGCAAGUUCGAAUCUUGCACGGGACA